rnacentral:rRNA from 1 species
AUUGAACGCUGGCGGCAUGCUUUACACAUGCAAGUCGAACGGCAGCGCGGGCUUCGGCCUGGCGGCGAGUGGCGAACGGGUGAGUAAUGCAUCGGAACGUGCCCAGUAGUGGGGGAUAGCCCGGCGAAAGCCGGAUUAAUACCGCAUACGACCUGAGGGUGAAAGCGGGGGACUGAAAGGCCUCGCGCUAUUGGAGCGGCCGAUGUCGGAUUAGCUAGUUGGUGGGGUAAAGGCUUACCAAGGCGACGAUCCGUAGCUGGUCUGAGAGGACGACCAGCCACACUGGGACUGAGACACGGCCCAGACUCCUACGGGAGGCAGCAGUGGGGAAUUUUGGACAAUGGGGGCAACCCUGAUCCAGCCAUGCCGCGUGCGGGAAGAAGGCCUUCGGGUUGUAAACCGCUUUUGUUCGGGAAGAAAUCCUCUGGGCUAAUACCCCGGGGGGAUGACGGUACCGGAAGAAUAAGCACCGGCUAACUACGUG